GACGAACGCUGGCGGCGUGCCUAACACAUGCAAGUCGAACGGACAUUUUUUGGAAAGUUCUUCGGAACUGGAAUCUAAAUGUUAGUGGCGGACGGGUGAGUAACGCGUGAGCAAUCUGCCUUUCAGAGGGGGAUAACAGCCGGAAACGGCUGCUAAUACCGCAUGACGCUUCUUAGGGGCAUCCCUGAGAAGUCAAAGCUUUAUGUGCUAAAAGAUGGCCUUACGUCUGAUUAGAUAGUUGGUAGGGUAAAGGCCUACCAAGUCGACGAUCAGUAGCCGGACUGAGAGGUUGAACGGCCACAUUGGGACUGAGAUACGGCCCAG
rnacentral:rRNA from 1 species